CAAAAAUUCAUUAUUCAAACCAUUGUUUUUCGUAAAUAGUCUCUAUCAAGCACAGGCUUCACACUGGUCUGCUGGGCUCGCCCCUAUUCAAAUUCUUCUUGAGGGUAAAUGCAGGCACCUAAGCUGAAAUGGUUAAAAGUGGCUCACCAUACACUGUUCUGGGAUAGGGUUUCUUCUCGCUCAACACGCCUAAUCAAAGAGGGCAAGUUUUGCGGUAAGAUCUCUUAAAACCGAUCUAGAAAUUUCUUUGCUUUCCUCGAUUAUUUAUGAAGACUUUGAGAUUGUUCCGCGGACCCACUUUCAAAUAGAAAUAAAUUUGCCAAAAUAGGAAAAACCCUAGGCUUAAUUCUAGGCUUUCAGCGGAGAAAUGGAUGAAAAUGAAGCUGGCGAGCAGUUUCAUCGGAACGAAGCCAUCUCCGCUGUAGCUGACGAGGGUUUCCUUGGCGAAGAGGAAGAUGACUACGAAGAUCUGUAUAAUGAUGUUAAUAUUGGUGAGAACUUCCUCCAGUCGAUCAGAAAGAACGAGGAUAAUCUAGGUCAGGGAAAUGAGCAAUUAUCGGAGAACAAAGCCGAGCCGGUUCCUCCUCUGCGUCAAGCACCACAGCCGGUAGUGAGGAGUGCGGGUGGGGCUAUACAAGACGAGGGAGAGUCGGCAAGGGUUCCUGUUAGAGUAGAGGCUCAUCAGAAUAUAGGGUUUAGGGGAAAUGACAUCAGUAAUGAGAUUGGGGCUGGUAGAGGUUUGGGAGUGACGGCUAGAAAUGAAUCCGGGAUGCCAUGUGUUGGGGGGCUCAGGGUUGAGCUAAAGCAGUCAUCCAAUAAACCAGCCGAGUUCGUAGAGCAGACUGUGAAUAACAGUGCUCAAAAUAAUCCACCAAUGGUUCAGCAUCAGCAGCCACGUGCUGCUAAUAUCGGAGCUGCAGCAAGCCCAGCAAAUGUUGGAAUUGUGGCGAAUGUGACAGGGACCGGAGGUUACAUGCCUGGAAGUGGUGUUGGCAGCAUGACAGGUGGUGGUGGUGGAGGAACAAUUCUUUUUGUUGGUGAUUUGCAUUGGUGGACAACUGAUGCUGAGCUGGAGGAAGAGCUAAGCAAGUAUGGGCCAGUAAAGGAGGUAAAGUUUUUUGAUGAGAAAGCUAGUGGGAAGUCAAAAGGUUACUGUCAGGUGGAAUUUUUUAACCCUGAUAGUGCCACUGCCUGUAAAGAAGGAAUGAAUGGGCAUUUGUUUAAUGGACGGCCAUGUGUAGUUGCAUAUGCUUCGCCCUAUAGUAUUAAGAAAAUGGGUGAAGCUCAGUUAAAUAGAAACCAAAAUGCAGCCCAGCCAGCGGUUAAUCAACCGCGAAGGGGGCCUGGAGAUGUGCCUGGUAAACAUGGCGGAGGUGGCAACAUGGCUAUGAGUGGGAACUAUCAAGGCGGUGGUGAUGGUCACAGAGGUUUUGGGAGAGGGAGUUGGGGUAGAGGUAAUGGUCAAGGAGGUAUGGGAAAUAGGGGGCCUGUGGGUCCAAUGAGGAACAGGGGUGGUGGAAUAGGUGGUCGUGGUUUAAUGGGAAACGGUAAUGGAUUUGCGCAGGGGAUUGGUGCAACUCCUUCAUUAUUACAUCCUCAAACAAUGAUGGGUCAGGGAUUCGAUCCUGCUUUUGGAGCCCCCAUGGGGCGAAUGGGUAGUUAUGGAGGAUUUCCUGGUGCGCCUACCCCACCCUUUUCAGGAAUGUUAUCUUCAUUUGGACCUGUUGGAAAUGUUGGUUUGCCUGGUGUUGCUCCCCACGUGAAUCCGGCAUUUUUUGGGAGAGGGAUGCCCAUGAAUAGCAUGGGCAUGAUGCAUGCUCCUGGAUUUGAUGGGCCUAAUAUGGGCACGUGGUCAGAUCCUAACAUGGGUGGAUGGACAGGUGGGGAGCAUGGUGGGAGAGCAGGAGAGUCUAGUUAUGGAGAAGAAGCUGCAUCUGACCAUCAGUAUGGAGAAGGAAGUCAUGAUAAAGGGCCUUGGACAAAUGCUACAAAAGAGAAGGACAGAGGUUCAGAAAGGGAUAGGUCUGGCUCUUCAGACAGGAGGUAUCGAGAUGAUAGAGAACCAGGCCAUGACAGAGAUAUGCCUCGAGAAAAAGAUACGGGGCAUGAUCAUGAGUGGUCAGAAAGGAGGCAUCGCGAUGGCAGUGUUGGUGGACGAGACAGGGAGAGGGACCGGGACCGAGAUCCUGGUCAUUCCCGAGGCCGCGAGCGUGAUCGUGGGAGGGAACGUGACCAUGAUCGCCAUCGGGAUGACAGAGUUGGAUAUGCUGAUCAUCAUAGGUACAGGGACCGUGAGCCUGAAUACGAUGACGAAUGGGACAGGGUAAGAUCAUCCAGGACUCACGGAAAAUCAAGACAAUCACAUGAGGACGAGCAUAGGUCAAGAUCAAGGGAUGCUGAAUAUGGGAAGAGGCGACGCCUAACCUCUGAGUAAUUAGGUGUUCACUGCAUCUCUCAGUAUUGUAGUUCAGAAAGAAACUGAUUAGUCACUAGGUAAACUUUGGUAGACCAUGAUCAUUCAGAAUCUUUUACUAGCUGCUUUGUUGGAUGCCUGGCUUAGGUUGACAGUGAACAGUCAUGCUCUUCAACAACUUCCGUGGUUCCUAUGUUGUGAAAUCUUUGUUGGCUCCUUCUGAAGGAUUAUGGUUUUUAUCAGCACAUGAAUCAAGUGAGUUGUUUCAUUCCACGCAUCUGUUUUAUGUCUUACAUACAAUAAUUUUAACUCUUUGGCAGUAAACUUCGGUUUUGCACGUAUGCCUUGAUUAAAUCGGAAGAUAUUCUAUUUUUAUUACUACUGUGAGAAAGCCAUAGCCUUGCAUAAUCAAACAUAGAUGUCUACCUUUAAAAACAGAAAUGAUGGAUUUGUUUCUGUCCUUAUUUGAUAUUGUAAUUUUAAUAGACCCUUCCCUCACCCUACUCCGGAAAAAUAGACAUGAAAACCAAAUCCCACUGUAUGGCCAAAAACAAAAAUGUGACCUAUCCAUAUGAACUUUAUUUUUAAAGUUCAAUAUCUUGCAAAAUGUGAUGUUUUGCACAUGAUGUUGGAGCCUUACCACUAGAAAAUCUGUUCAUCAUUACUGUCCUUCCUCUUUGGCCAUUUCUGUAAUUUGGUGAAUGCACAUCAUUAGCAUUUAUGUAAUUGGUUGCUUAUAGUUUGAAGUCUAUAAAGUCUUGACAAUUCUUAUCCAAUUAAAGGCUUGUGUACCAGUUUGGAAAUUUUUGCGCUGCACUAAUUAAAAUUUUGUUGUAUAACUUCUGUCCUUGUAAAGUAAAUCAUGUUGGAAGUAUCCUGUGUUCUUUCUACUCUUAGUGUAGCAUGUAUAUUCAUUUCUUUCUUCAGAAAUCAUGUGUUAAACGGGGAGGAAAUUGCAUUUUAGCCUGAGCAUAGUACAAAUGCAACCAAUCCCCUAUGGAGCUUACUCAAAAAUUGGGAGGUAUCCUUUUGUAUAUUAUUAGCUGCCCAUGAUUAUUUAUUCUAUCAUUGGUGUUGAUCUGUCAUGGUUACUGAGAUAGGUGUAGUGGUUUGAUUGUGUGCUAUAUAUAUUUAGUAAUUUUAUUGGCUGUGCACUUUCGUGCAUCUUCUAAUUCUCUUGUUAAGUUGAACGCAUGUUACUCACACACAGAACUUUAGAAGACGAAUAUCUGUUCACCAUUGAGACACCUCAAAAGUGGAUGACUCAUAAAAUGAUAUGUAGUUGAUAGGAUUAAGUGAAAUCUCUCUCCUCUUUUAUUUGCACUCCAGAAGCUCAUAAAAAGCAUACAAUACAUAGAGCCCGUUUGGUACGGAUUAAAAUCUUAUUUUAAUCUAAGUCAACGUUAAACAAUCAAUAUUAACCACAUCUUUCAAGGAUCCCACAACUUUUCAACCACACAUUUCAAAAACUUAUAUCACAAUCUACUAAAAAAUUUAAUUUUAAUCCCUGUCAAACACCCUUACAUUUCAGUCCAUAGGUGUCCCCUCCUCCAGUGCAAAGGCCUUGAGAGCGGCAUGUUUGGUUGGACUAGUAUUAGGAAGGGAAGUGAAAGUGAACCACAUAUAGUUUGUCUGGUAAGUAAUAGAAGAGGGAGUGACAGAGAAGUGGAGCUUCCAAAUUGAAGUGGUUGGACUAAAUAAUACUAAGCCCCUAUUUGGUUUAGCUAAAGGUCUGAUUUUUAAUAGAUUUUGAUAAAAGUAGAUGAAAUAUGUGGUUGAAAAGUUGAAAAAAAGUUGUGGAUCCUAUGAAAUGUGUGGUUGAAAAUGAGCUGAGGAAAAAUGAGUUUUAGAAAGUGGGGGCCAAACAAAGGCUAAAUUAACCUCAAUUAGUAUAUAUAGUUGGAAACCAGGGUAUGACAGAAGGUUAAAUAAAAAUGUUAAACUCGUCCUCAAUUUCUCUUCUCCUUCCCUUCCGUUCCCCUACGCCAACUCUUUUCUUUCAACAAACAAGGCAGUGGAAUAAUACACCAGUAAAAGUGUGUUUGAGCAUGGUGUAGCUGGAAGAAGGUAUGAAAAUACAAAGGACAAGUUACUGGCAAAUUACUUCCUUACUUUUCACUUGUGGAGUAUACAUCUCCAUUCCUUUUCCCUCUCUCUUGGCAUCCUCUUUCAUUGAACCGAAGAUACCCAAGGGAAAGGAUAAGAUCUGGCUUCAGUUUAAACUAGGAUGGAAUGACAUGAUUUCAAAAUUAACAAUGUGUGGUGUGACUGAAGCACAAUUUCUUCUAUUAAUGCCACUUAAUUUCAGCGUGAUUUUGAUUUGGGAAUCUUUUGUUUAUUAUUCCUUCACCCCACCACCAGGAAAAAGGCAAAAGCUAUUGAGAAGAUUUACAUAAUAUGAAGUACGCUACUUUUAGAACCACUAUAUUUCAAGGGAGAAGUGGUAAUUUGUUACUACUUUACAUUUAGCCUUUUUUUUGUCAAAAUUAAUAUAUCAUUAUAAAUGGUCUAACUUUAUUUUCAACCACAAUUAAUAUCCUUUUAUUCACCACUCAUUUCUAUCUUUUAAUAGAUUAUAAACAGUUUAUAAAUUCUGUCCAAACGUGGCUUAAUUGAGUUAUUGACAUUUAUCACUUUUUUCUUUCAAUUUUAGAUGGAAGGAUACGAUUCUGAAGCUGUUCUGGAAGUCUGUAUGAAUGGCAAAGCUCUAGUCUGGAAGAUGAUAUGACAUGGUGAAACCUCUUAGCCAAGAUUGCAUUGUUAGUUGAACCUUUUAUUUGAGUAUUCGAACACUUCAUUUACCUUUUAUCAUAAUGUCACUUGAACAAUAUGAUGUUGUGGAUGAUAAUCAUGACUUGAAGUACUUUAGUGUUGAGAUCAGGAGGAUAAUUUACAAUGUUGCUAUUUGAAUGGAUUAGGAAUGAAGAUGCGGGAUGUUUAGUAUGUACCGCCUUUUCUGUUUGACUUUUUUUUUGUAAUUUUACCUUCUCCUUUUGUUAGGCUUACCGUGUUAAACAUGCCAAUUUAUGUGAUGAUUAUGUAAUUUGCUAACUAUACAAUAACGUGGUUAAUUUAACCCACGAAUUGUAUGUCUAAAUCUCAUGUAUAUAUUUCAAACAGAUCAAUCUUUUUUCAGUAAUUUACCAGGGGAUAACGUUCAUUUUGC
rnacentral:lncRNA from 1 species